rnacentral:lncRNA from 1 species
GUUUUACAAAUGAAACUUAUAUGUACGAAGGCUGUGACUGUGAUUCUGUGAAAUCAAAGGCCUGCUGCUGUGUGAAAACUGCAGAAUGAUGAAUUGAUGAUGAUUGAAGGCCAGGGCCUGCUCUAUCUCGAUUAAUCGAUUAGCCUUCCUGUUCCUGCGACAUUUCAGUUUCACGUUUCAUUACCUUACCCAGUCCCAGUUGCCGCCCAGAUUUCUUUUUUUAUUAGUUUUUAUAAUUAUUUGGGUAUUGAGCUCACUAACCUAAUGGGCUAAAUAGUUUAAACAACAUGAUUUUUUUAAGUGGGCCUAUCUUAGUAUUUGUUUGGUUAUACCCUAUUAAAUUUUUUUUACAUAUAUAAUAUCGGAUUUUUUUUUAAAUUACGUGCCCUACGAAAUCACGGGCCCUGUCCGGUUGUCCUCCCCACCCUCCUUCAGGACCGGCUCUGGUAAGUGUUCUUGGCAAAGACUUCUUACCGAAAUCCUGCACAAAGAAUAUUCAGAAUUCAUGCACCUUCCAUCACA